rnacentral:rRNA from 1 species
AUUGAACGCUGGCGGCAUGCCUUACACAUGCAAGUCGAACGGCAGCACGGGGGCAACCCUGGUGGCGAGUGGCGAACGGGUGAGUAACAUAUCGGAACAUACCCUAGAGUGGGGGAUAACGUAGCGAAAGUUACGCUAAUACCGCAUACGAUCUAAGGAUGAAAGUGGGGGAUCUUCGGACCUCAUGCUCAUGGAGUGGCCGAUAUCUGAUUAGCUAGUUGGUGAGGUAAAAGGGCUCACCAAAGGCGACGAUCAGUAGCUGGUUUUGAGAGAACGACCAGCCACACUGGAACUGAGACACGGUCCAGACUCCGUACGGGAGGCAGCAGUGAGGAA